UCCGAAUUGGUGUAGGGGUUAACAUUGCCGCCUCUCAGCGGAGAUCCGUAAUGGUGUAAUCUAGCACGCGGCAGCCCGGGGUUCGAUUCCCCGAUUCGGAA